rnacentral:rRNA from 1 species
ACAACAGACGGAAACGACUGCUAAUACCGAAUAAGUUCCAAGAGCCGCAUGGCCCAUGGAAGAAAAGGUGGCCUCUACCUGUAAGCUAUCGCCUGAAGAGGGGUUUGCGUCUGAUUAGCUGGUUGGAGGGGGUAACGGGCCCACCAAGGCGACGGUCAGUAGCCGGUCUGAGAGGAUGAACGGCCACACUGGAACUGAGACACGGUCCAGACUCCUACGGGAGGCAGCAUG